UUCGGUUGAUCCCGCCGGAGGCUACCGCUAUUGGAGUUCGAUUAAGCCAUGCGAGUCGCGAGUCUUAGGGACUCGGCGUACCGCUCAGUAACACGUGGGUAACCUGCCCUAUGCUGGGGGAUAACCUCGGGAAACUGAGAAUAAUACCCCAUAGUUCACCACGCCUGGAACGGUGGGUGGACCAAAGCUCCGGCGGCAUAGGAUGGGCCUGCGGCGUAUCAGGUUGUAGGGGGUGUAAUGUACCCUCUAGCCCUCUACGCGUACGGGUGUUGGGAGACAUCGCCCGGAGAUGGAUUCUGAGACACGAAUCCAGACCCUACGGGGUGCAGCAGGCGCGAAAACUUGGCAAUGCGAGCAAUCGUGACCAGGGAACUCCAAGUGCAUCGGGUAAGACCGAUGCUUUUCUUGACUCUUCAAAGGUCUUGGAAUAAGGGGUGGGUAAGGACGGUGCCAGCCGCCGCGGUAAUACCGGCGCCUCAAGUGGUAGUCGCUUUUAUUGGGCCUAAAACGUCCGUAGCCGGUUUGGUACAUUCGUGGGUAAAUCAAGGCGCUCAACGUCUUGAAUUCUGCGAGCACGGCCAGACUUGGGACCGGGUGAGGUGUGGGGUACUCUCAGGGUAGGGGUAAAAUCCUGUCAUCCUGAGAGGACCACCUGUUGCGAAGGCGCCACACUAGAACGGAUCCGACGGUCAGGGACGAAGCCUAGGGGCACGAACCGGAUUAGAUACCCGGGUAGUCCUAGGUGUAAACGCUGUGGACUUGAUGUUGGGAGUGCUCCGAGCGCACUCAGUGUCGAAGCGAAGGUGAUAAGUCCACUGCCUGGGGAGUACGGUCGCAAGGCUGAAACUUAAAGGAAUUGGCGGGGGAGCACCGCAACCUGAGGAUUGUGCGGUUUAAUUGGAUUCAACGCCGG
rnacentral:rRNA from 1 species